UACGUAGGGUGCAAGCGUUAAUCGGAAUUACUGGGCGUAAAGCGUGCGCAGGCGGUUUUGUAAGACCGAUGUGAAAUCCCCGGGCUUAACCUGGGAACUGCAUUGGUGACUGCAAGGCUUGAGUGUGUCAGAGGGAGGUGGAAUUCCGCGUGUAGCAGUGAAAUGCGUAGAUAUGCGGAGGAACACCGAUGGCGAAGGCAGCCUCCUGGGAUAACACUGACGCUCAUGCACGAAAGCGUGGGGAGCAGACAGG
rnacentral:rRNA from 1 species